rnacentral:rRNA from 2 species
UUUUAUGGAGAGUUUGAUCCUGGCUCAGAGUGAACGCUGGCGGCGUGCCUAAUACAUGCAAGUCGAACGAUGAAGCUUCUAGCUUGCUAGAAGUGGAUUAGUGGCGCACGGGUGAGUAACGCAUAGGUCAUGUGCCUCUUAGUUUGGGAUAGCCAUUGGAAACGAUGAUUAAUACCAGAUACUCCCUACGGGGGAAAGAUUUAUCGCUAAGAGAUCAGCCUAUGUCCUAUCAGCUUGUUGGUAAGGUAAUGGCUUACCAAGGCUAUGACGGGUAUCCGGCCUGAGAGGGUGAACGGACACACUGGAACUGAGACACGGUCCAGACUCCUACGGGAGGCAGCAGUAGGGAAUAUUGCUCAAUGGGGGAAACCCUGAAGCAGCAACGCCGCGUGGAGGAUGAAGGUUUUAGGAUUGUAAACUCCUUUUGUUAGAGAAGAUAAUGACGGUAUCUAACGAAUAAGCACCGGCUAACUCCGUGCCAGCAGCCGCGGUAAUACGGAGGGUGCAAGCGUUACUCGGAAUCACUGGGCGUAAAGAGCGCGUAGGCGGGAUAGUCAGUCAGGUGUGAAAUCCUAUGGCUUAACCAUAGAACUGCAUUUGAAACUACUAUUCUAGAGUGUGGGAGAGGUAGGUGGAAUUCUUGGUGUAGGGGUAAAAUCCGUAGAGAUCAAGAGGAAUACUCAUUGCGAAGGCGACCUGCUGGAACAUUACUGACGCUGAUUGCGCGAAAGCGUGGGGAGCAAACAGGAUUAGAUACCCUGGUAGUCCACGCCCUAAACGAUGGAUGCUAGUUGUUGGAGGGCUUAGUCUCUCCAGUAAUGCAGCUAACGCAUUAAGCAUCCCGCCUGGGGAGUACGGUCGCAAGAUUAAAACUCAAAGGAAUAGACGGGGACCCGCACAAGCGGUGGAGCAUGUGGUUUAAUUCGAAGAUACACGAAGAACCUUACCUAGGCUUGACAUUGAGAGAAUCCGCUAGAAAUAGUGGAGUGUCUAGCUUGCUAGACCUUGAAAACAGGUGCUGCACGGCUGUCGUCAGCUCGUGUCGUGAGAUGUUGGGUUAAGUCCCGCAACGAGCGCAACCCCCUUUCUUAGUUGCUAACAGGUCAUGCUGAGAACUCUAAGGAUACUGCCUCCGUAAGGAGGAGGAAGGUGGGGACGACGUCAAGUCAUCAUGGCCCUUACGCCUAGGGCUACACACGUGCUACAAUGGGGUGCACAAAGAGAAGCAAUACUGCGAAGUGGAGCCAAUCUUCAAAACGCCUCUCAGUUCGGAUUGUAGGCUGCAACUCGCCUGCAUGAAGCUGGAAUCGCUAGUAAUCGCAAAUCAGCCAUGUUGCGGUGAAUACGUUCCCGGGUCUUGUACUCACCGCCCGUCACACCAUGGGAGUUGUGUUUGCCUUAAGUCAGGAUGCUAAACUAGCUACUGCCCACGGCACACACAGCGACUGGGGUGAAGUCGUAACAAGGUAACCGUAGGUGAACCUGCGGUUGGAUCACCUCCUUUCUAGA